UCUCACACAGCUCUUCUGUUUCUCACUUUUGUAGUCAAUACACUGUAUGAGAGAUGCAACACUUUACUAUGAAAUAGGCUGUGUGUUAGAUGACUCUGCCCAAGUGUAGACUACUAUAAGUGUUCUGAGCACGUUUAAGGGCCAUCCUGAGUAGGGAUGUCAUGCUGCACCAUCCACUCCCACUGAUGUCAUCAUAUCAUGCAGAGUCACCUCUCAACAAGAAUUUUUUCCCUCUCCUCAGCCCAGACCACCGGAGUGAACUGAAGGAGACCUGCAAAGGGGGAUCUGCUCCUGUGACUCUGGGAUCUUUAGGGUCUUUCAGCUGGCCCUAUACAUUCCACCACUUCUCCUGAUGCUAUGCAGCUACGAGGUGUGCCCAACUUUAUGGCUAGGAGAGGGUCAGCUCUCACCACUCAACAAUGGAUGGGAUAGGUUGCUUGGAAAAACCUUGUAAAUAAAGGUGCAUCCAUGUCAUAGAAA